rnacentral:lncRNA from 11 species
CAUGACACCAUGCCUUUCCCUGGCACUAUGAUGAAGUACCCUAAAAUUAGCCUUCUUACUACUUUGUCAAGACUGCAUGCAGGGAAGCAGGCAGCCCACGGUGGAGAGAGAGCAAAGAGGCACCGGAGAGGAAAGGCCUGGGACACUCGCACACGCAAGCAGGUCACGCCACUUUACGGACAACAAUUGCUAACCAAUGCCAUGCUCCUCAGUUGAUCGUGAGCAGUGGAAAACUGGUGAGUGGUCAGACUCUCUACAUCUUCACUCUAAAACCUUAGUGCUCUGAUAAUAAUGUAUCCGUCCUUAGGUGACUGAAUGUUCAGUACAAAGAACCCAGGUGUUGGACAAGUCAUGAUGUCUAAACCA